rnacentral:rRNA from 1 species
GACGAACGCUGGCGGCGUGCCUAAUACAUGCAAGUUGAGCGCUGAAGGUUGGUACUUGUACCAACUGGAUGAGCAGCGAACGGGUGAGUAACGCGUGGGGAAUCUGCCUUUGAGCGGGGGACAACAUUUGGAAACGAAUGCUAAUACCGCAUAAAAACUUUAAACACAAGUUUUAAGUUUGAAAGAUGCAAUUGCAUCACUCAAAGAUGAUCCCGCGUUGUAUUAGCUAGUUGGUGAGGUAAAGGCUCACCAUGGCGAUGAUACAUAGCCGACCUGAGAGGGUGAUCGGCCACAUUGGGACUGAGACACGGCCCAAACUCCUACGGGAGGCAGCAGUAGGGAAUCUUCGGCAAUGGACGAAAGUCUGACCGAGCAACGCCGCGUGAGUGAAGAAGGUUUUCGGAUCGUAAAACUCUGUUGGUAGAGAAGAACGUUGGUGAGAGUGGAAAGCUCAUCAAGUGACGGUAACUACCCAGAAAGGGACGGCUAACUACGUG